CACGUAGGGACCGAGCGUUGUUCGGAAUCAUUGGGCGUAAAGAGUAUGUAGGCGGCUAUUUAAGUCAGGCGUGCAAGCCCACGGCUCAACCGUGGAAUUGCGUCUGAAACUAUUUAGCUUGAGUUCAGGAGAGGAAGGCGGAAUUCCCAGUGUAGCGGUGAAAUGUAUUGAUAUUGGGAAGAACACCGGUGGCGAAGGCGGCCUUCUGGUCUGAUACUGACGCUGAGAUACGAAAGCCAGGGGAGCGAACGGG
rnacentral:rRNA from 1 species